rnacentral:lncRNA from 1 species
GGAGGGGGGGGCGCGGCUGCACCGGGACGCGCCGGUGCGCACCGGGGCGACGGCACCAGGAAGGGCCGGUGUGCACCGGGAUGGCGGCACCGGGAAGCGCCGGUGUGCACGGAGGUGCCUGUGUGCACCGGGAUGGCGGCACCGGGAGGUGCCUGCGUGUGCCGGGGCGGCAGCACCGGGAGGCACGGGUGUGCACCACAGAAGCGGGCACCGAGAGGCAGGGGUGCACCGGGGCUAUUGCAAGCACUUCUUCAGAUGUGAACCCCUAUCUGAAUACAAGCUCGGAUCAAGAGGACUACUUUCAGAAUGAAACCUCUCUCUUCUUAUCACUAUUUCUCAUGGGAUCUCUGGGAUCUCUCUUUCAGCAGCCUCAUGAAUGGGGAAGCAGCUUCUGUGCACAGCCACCAAGUCCCCCAAGACGCCUCUCCCGCAGCAUCUGCUGAGCUCCAGGAACAAAGAAUCAGCUGUGCCCAAGCCACAGGAGAGGGGAGCCAAAUGUCAGUGACCUGGAGAAAUCUGUGAUUAAACCAGCUCAGACAUUUUAUCUCCUGUUCCAUUUGAACCAAAAAUAAAACAAAUUUGCUUUCUGAGCUGGAAGGUUAC